ACAAGCCUACAAGCCUACAUUCCUGCAAACAUGCAAAGAAACUCACCUCUUCCAGAAAGACACUUCGCUUCUUCAAAGGAACUGAGCUUCUGGAACUGGAUCUGUGAAUAUUCCAGGCUAUGACGUCAGAGUCUCCGUGGAGAUGCCGCCAUGGAGACCGGUAGUUCCCACCGAUAAGGACCGCAGGAGUACAAGCUACAAGGUGUUGUGAGUAAUUGUGGGUAUUGCGAAAUCUGUCCCAGACAGCCGCAUGCAACAGUACUUAUACGCAUGCGUAGUAACGUCCAGACCAGCCCCACCCCUUUUAUCGCAUGCAGAACUUUAGCUUUUCGAAAAUGGAUCCUAGCACACCAGCUAGCCGCAUCAGGAGGAGCUACACCUAACCCCAAUGCUCCCCCCAACCAAUCCAAGCAACCCAUGAGACAUAUAUUUGUGGAGAGUGUCACAGUGAAGCCGAGGGAUCCGAUUCGUUGUCAAGAGUGUGGCUGCAGAAUCAUGUACAAGAAACGAACCAAAAAAAGUAUCCUUAUGUGUACAGUAUUAUAAUAGCUAUUCUAAACCGGUAGCGUGACAUUAUUUUUGCGAGGGGCUUAUACUUCACUGUUUUCACUGUUUAGCAAUCCUCUACGAAAAGACUU